rnacentral:lncRNA from 1 species
GAAAAAAAAGACAGCUUUGAACAAAAGUCCACAGCCAGUGUGUUCCAAGUCCCUGCUCAGGGCUGACUGUGGCAGGGGACACUCUCCUGCUGGCUCUCUCUGUCCACACUUAGCUGGCUCCUGUCCUCAGGUGCACGGCCACACCCUUGCACCCAACCUUGAUCCUCUGAUGGGGAAGGUCCCAGGACUUGUCUGCUGGGACAGGCCUCACCCCCAAGAGCUCUGGGCAGUACUGAGAAGGGGAUUGCAGAGGCAAAGCUAGACUAGGUCUUGGAGGCUGGUGUAAGGCGGUGCGCGGAAGGCAGGACGCUGAUGGGAGAGACUGGUCGAAGAAAAGCCGAAAUGGAUUCUCCGUGCUUUGGAUGGAGAAAGAGGGGGGAAGUGCGAGCUCCUUCAACUCGUUCUGUCCGGUGAGGAGUGAUCCAGCUUGGGCUGACGAGAGGCUCCGGAGCCUUCACGUUCAGUGCUUUUUACCUGCCAAUCAAACUGCUACAAGACAACACCCUGAUCUGGCAUGGUCGCAUCGAACCUAGAAAUUGUACUUUCCUCAAGAUCCGCUUAAGAGAAUCUGGCUGAUGGCUUUGGUCUGAGAGUUCAGACAUCUCUUGUGCAACUAAGAAAGACCUCAUUUUCCAUUUGCUGGAUCCUCCUGGUUUGUCAUCCCUGAGGCCUGUAAGAAGCCCAUCAGGAGGUCCCCUGCGCUGGAAG